GAUGAACGCUGGCGGCGUGCCUAACACAUGCAAGUCGAGUGAUUUACUUCGGUAAAGAGCGGCGGACGGGUGAGUAACGCGUGGGUAACCUGCCCUGUACACACGGAUAACAUACCGAAAGGUAUGCUAAUACGAGAUAAUAUACUUUUAUCGCAUGGUAGAAGUAUCAAAGCUUUUGCGGUACAGGAUGGACCCGCGUCUGAUUAGCUAGUUGGUAAGGUAACGGCUUACCAAGGCGACGAUCAGUAGCCGACCUGAGAGGGUGAUCGGCCACAUUGGAACUGAGACACGGUCCAAACUCCUACGGGAGGCAGCAGUGGGGAAUAUUGCACAAUGGGCGAAAGCCUGAUGCAGCAACGCCGCGUGAGCGAUGAAGGCCUUCGGGUCGUAAAGCUCUGUCCUCAAGGAAGAUAAUGACGGUACUUGAGGAGGAAGCCCCGGCUAACUACGUGCCAGCAGCCGCGGUAA
rnacentral:rRNA from 1 species